GAUUGACCUCGGAUCAGGUAGGGAUACCCGCUGAACUUAAGCAUAUCAAUAAGCGGAGGAAAAGAAACCAACAGGGAUUGCCUCAGUAACGGCGAGUGAAGCGGCAACAGCUCAAAUUUGAAAUCUGGCUCUAGGGCCCGAGUUGUAAUUUGUAGAGGAUGCUUCGGGUGCGGCACCGUUCUAAGUUCCUUGGAACAGGGCGUCAUAGAGGGUGAGAAUCCCGUACGUGACCGGUCGCCAACCCCAUGUGAAGCUCCUUCGACGAGUCGAGUUGUUUGGGAAUGCAGCUCAAAAUGGGUGGUAAAUUUCAUCUAAAGCUAAAUACUGGCCAGAGACCGAUAGCGCACAAGUAGAGUGAUCGAAAGAUGAAAAGCACUUUGGAAAGAGAGUUAAAAAGUACGUGAAAUUGUUGAAAGGGAAGCGCUUGCAACCAGACUCGCCCGGGGGUGAUCAGCCGUCCUUUUGGGCGGUGCACUUUCCCCCGGUCGGGCCAGCAUCGGUUCGGGCGGUCGGACAAAGGCUUCGGGAACGUAGCUCCUCUCGGGGAGUGUUAUAGCCCGGGGUGUAAUGCGGCCAGCCCGGACCGAGGACCGCGCUUU
rnacentral:rRNA from 1 species